ACUGUAAUAUGAGAACAGUUGACUGCAUACUCCUUGAGAAAAAAGAAUAGGAAUAGUCAACAAAUGGAUUUGCACCAAGACUCUGAUUGGUGGUGGUAAUAAUGGAGGAUUUAUACGAUACUUUCACUAAGAAAACCCUGGCAAACUCACCUCAGUAUCAGGCCCUGCCUUUAUCAGCUCAGGAUCAAAAAAGAAUAAAAUCUUCCUGAAGUCCUCUCGUGUUUGGAACAGCGAGAAGGAAAGGAACAUCAAAUACAGGACACUGCAACCUGAACAACAAGCAAACAGCUUCUGAUUUAGUCAUUUUUUAAAAAAUAUUUUAAGCCAAUAGCUAGAUCUGCAAGGGUAUUUACAAAUAGAGAAAUCAACUCUCACCAAAAACAAGCCUCCAUAUUGCAGGAUGGGGCCUGAUGAAGGGACCUGUGAAAAGUACCAAGUGCAAAUUCAAAAUAAACAAAUUAUUUUUAUAGCAUAUG